AGCCUGCAGGCUCUGUGGAGCAGCAGCAGAGCAGGUUCAGCACCUGGAGCCAUUGCUGUGAGCCAGCUCACAUGGGCACAUAACCGUUGCAGCUGCCUCCUCUUUAGAGCCAAAGUGUGAAGCAGACACAGGGAAGAGCUGCCCGCCCCCAGCAGGGAUAAGGAUGAGGCCCCAGGACCAGUGCAGCCUCUGCAGCCAGCAACCAGUGGUUGAAGCACUGCGGCACUUGGAUGCUCCUUUCCCAGCAUAUGGCAUGAGCACACCCGCAGUGAAAACAAUGCAGGCCACGUCUGAUCUCCAACACAGCGCGUUUUUGCGGAGAAUACUUUUCUACAAACAAAUAUUGCCUAUGCAGCGCUAGCAACACAAACAGGCGAAUGCCUCUGGGAGCAGAGUGGAUCCUAGCAGGAAGCAGAAGUAAACACCAAGACAA